rnacentral:rRNA from 1 species
AACGAACGCUGGCGGCAGGCUUAGCACAUGCAAGUCGAACGCCCCGCAAGGGGAGUGGCAGACGGGUGAGUAACGCGUGGGAAUCUACCCAUCCCUACGGAAUAACGCAUGGAAACGUGUGCUAAUACCGUAUACGCCCUACGGGGGAAAGAUUUAUCGGGGAUGGAUGAGCCCGCGUUGGAUUAGCUAGUUGGUGGGGUAAAGGCCUACCAAGGCGACGAUCCAUAGCUGGUCUGAGAGGAUGAUCAGCCACAUUGGGACUGAGACACGGCCCAAACUCCUACGGGAGGCAGCAGUGGGGAAUAUUGGACAAUGGGCGCAAGCCUGAUCCAGCCAUGCCGCGUGAGUGAUGAAGGCUUUAGGGUUGUAAAGCUCUUUCACCGGAGAAGAUAAUGACGGUAUCCGGAGAAGAAGCCCCGGCUAACUUCGUG